rnacentral:rRNA from 1 species
AGAGUUUGAUCAUGGCUCAGGAUGAACGCUAGCUACAGGCUUAACACAUGCAAGUCGAGGGGCAGCAUGUUGGUUGCUUGCAACCAACGAUGGCGACCGGCGCACGGGUGAGUAACGCGUAUCCAACCUACCCUUGUCCAUCGGAUAACCCGUCGAAAGGCGGCCUAACACGAUAUGCGGUUCACAGCAGGCAUCUAACAUGAACGAAAUGUAAAGGAGAAGGAUGGGGAUGCGUCUGAUUAGCUUGGUUGGCGGGGUAACGGCCCACAAGGCUACGACCAGUAGGGGUUCUGAGAGGAAGGUCCCCACAUUGGAACUGAGACACGGUCCAAACUCCUACGGGAGGCA